CUCAAAAACCUUACCGACAAUGGACCUCAGCUGCGCUAUUUUCUGACAACAGAGGCUCGGCCACCCUCCUCCAGCAGCGGCGACUGCACACGUGACAGGGACUGUGCGAGACUCGGCGACAGUGACGCGACGGCUUGCCUCCUUCCUUGCGUCGCACCGUCUAUGUCUCUCUCAAUCUCGGCAUCGCUCUCCCUUUCUCCUUCGAGCUCGACGGCAUCGGACCCAUGACGGUGGCGGCAUUGAGGAUAAAAGGCACAAACACAUCUGCGACGAUGCUCUCCUUUCUCUCUUCUCCUCUCCGCGUUGGCGCCAGCAAUGAUGGGCAGUUUGGCGGCGAUGAUGACACGAUGGCCCUACAGCAGUGAUGCCCGCCGGCGCCGUCCUCCCUCUCUUCUCCUCUGUCUCUGUUUCUCCCUCUUUCCCGCCGCUCUCUCUUUCCCCCUUCUUGCUCCCUUUUCUUUCUUUCUUUCUUUACGCUUUAGUUUGAGUUUUAAAAAUCUCUUCUUGAAGUUAGAAUACAAAUGUCUGGGAUAGAAUCGAUGAUCUACUCCGAAAAAUAGCUCAUCAAAUGUUAAAACUAAUUCCUACAACAUUUAUAUAAUUCACUUUUCUGGAGACAUAAUUGAAUGUAAACACAAAUAGUGGGUAUAAUAUUAAAAUUGAAUACAUCCAAGUGAGACCUAAUUGAGAAUGAAUACAUCCAAGUGAGAGUAAUUAAAAAAUAUAAUCUGAUUUGUUAGUAUAAUUGAUAGUAGGAUAACAUUAAAUCACUUUUAUAAACGUUAAGGAUAAAAAUAGGACGAUUUAAACGUUAGAGAUACAAAUAGGACUUACCCCAAAUAUUGGGGACAAAAACGAUACUUUACUCAUAAAAUUAAGUAAAAUUCUAAUUUAAUUAUCAAAACCUGAUUUAAUUUCUUUUCAUAAAAUAAUUUCUGAAAAUAAAGUCCUUGAUAAAUAAAUAAAUUGAAAUUAGCUCACAAUAAGAUUUUUCGAAAAUUCUGGGUCUUACAUUCUACCCACCUUAGAAAAAUUUUCGUCCUCAAAAAUUAAAGUAAUACUCGAGAUAUUGCAUAAUUUUAAUACUCUACUUUUGGAUACUUUAGAAAAGCAAGAAGUCUUGACAUAUAACUAUAUAUACAUAUAAAUUUUCAAAUACCGGAUAAGCCAUAAAACUUAGAUAUAAAGAAAGAGGGUNNNNNNNNNNNNNNNNNNNNNNNNNNNNNNNNNNNNNNNNNNNNNNNNNNNNNNNNNNNNNNNNNNNNNNNNNNNNNNNNNNNNNNNNNNNNNNNNNNNNNNNNNNNNNNNNNNNNNNNNNNNNNNNNNNNNNNNNNNNNNNNNNNNNNNNNNNNNNNNNNNNNNNNNNNNNNNNNNNNNNNNNNNNNNNNNNNNNNNNNNNNNNNNNNNNNNNNNNNNNNNNNNNNNNNNNNNNNNNNNNNNNNNNNNNNNNNNNNNNNNNNNNNNNNNNNNNNNNNNNNNNNNNNNNNNNNNNNNNNNNNNNNNNNNNNNNNNNNNNNNNNNNNNNNNNNNNNNNNNNNNNNNNNNNNNNNNNNNNNNNNNNNNNNNNNNNNNNNNNNNNNNNNNNNNNNNNNNNNNNNNNNNNNNNNNNNNNNNNNNNNNNNNNNNNNNNNNNNNNNNNNNNNNNNNNNNNNNNNNNNNNNNNNNNNNNNNNNNNNNNNNNNNNNNNNNNNNNNNNNNNNNNNNNNNNNNNNNNNNNNNNNNNNNNNNNNNNNNNNNNNNNNNNNNNNNNNNNNNNNNNNNNNNNNNNNNNNNNNNNNNNNNNNNNNNNNNNNNNNNNNNNNNNNNNNNNNNNNNNNNNNNNNNNNNNNNNNNNNNNNNNNNNNNNNNNNNNNNNNNNNNNNNNNNNNNNNNNNNNNNNNNNNNNNNNNNNNNNNNNNNNNNNNNNNNNNNNNNNNNNNNNNNNNNNNNNNNNNNNNNNNNNNNNNNNNNNNNNNNNNNNNNNNNNNNNNNNNNNNNNNNNNNNNNNNNNNNNNNNNNNNNNNNNNNNNNNNNNNNNNNNNNNNNNNNNNNNNNNNNNNNNNNNNNNNNNNNNNNNNNNNNNNNNNNNNNNNNNNNNNNNNNNNNNNNNNNNNNNNNNNNNNNNNNNNNNNNNNNNNNNNNNNNNNNNNNNNNNNNNNNNNNNNNNNNNNNNNNNNNNNNNNAACAAAGAGGUUACGUAGUGUCAAGACUUUACUAAAGCUUGAAGAAAUGCCAUAAGGUGUAAAUGUUCAAGGUGUGUGUUUGCAAAACAAUGUGGUCAAUAGGCCAACAUUCUAGUUUCCUUAACUAAUCAUGAGGUCUCAACGUCCCACACUUUAACAUAGCUCACCAUCACAAUUCUCAACUAUACUUUAUCGAACGAUUCAUCCGAAAGUUCUCAACCUCAUUAAUCACUUCUCAAACCCAUUACCAAUCACAAGCCUAAUACCAACAAAACUCUUUCGCGUAAAUCCAAGAUCCACAACAUCCUGUGGCAUCACACACUUACAAGUUUCACCUUUUGCAUUCACCAACCGUGUCUUAAGAACUAACAUAUCGCUUGUUGUAUUUAAAGACCACACGUGACACUAAAAUAAAUCUCGAGUUUACUUAAAAAGACACAAGACUUUAGAAAGGAAAGGCAAGUGUCAAGGACAAUACUCAUAAAUAUUUGAAAGAAUGAAUGCAAUUACAGGUAAACAAGGAUGCACAAGCAAUGAAGUUUGCUAGAAAGAAAUCAAUUGACAACUUCAAGGAUAACUCUUAAAUCAAAGAAAUUUAAUAAGAUCAAUAAGAAGAAAAACAAAACAUUAGUUUGAAACAUAUUCAAGCCGAGUCAAAGAAGUAUGAGAUUUUAUAGAAGAGGAAUGAUUAAAGACUAUAGUGACGCAUUACUACGGAACAACUUCAAAUGAUCACGAGGGUUUCAUAGUUCGUGGAGGAAUAUGGAAUCAAUAGCCGUGUUGUAAGUGUCUUAACAUAGUCAGAAGUGUAAGCAGAUCAGGAUAUGCGUAAGAUACAAAUGGUAAAGCAAAGAAAUUUAAAUUACAUCUCAAGAAAAAGAGAAGGAUAAACGACACAUCAAAUUAAAUGGCACGAUUUAGAACGCAUAAGCCAAUACCGCAUAAUUAAAAGAAGCACUUUACAUUUUCAAGGAUUCAAGGGUCAGUGUCGUACCAAAACAAUUUCAAUGUCAUGUCAAAGAAUACAAGAUUCAUGAAGAGAAGUAUAAUGACAAGGAUAGACGUUAUUAAAGAUUCAAACAGUAGUUUACAAAUAAGAGGCCGACGUAUGGAGAGAUUAAAGAACUUUAAUAGAGAUGAUUAGAAGAAAAUGGUGCAUUCAUUAGAAUUGAAUUCAAACUGAAUUUAAAGUACAAGAUUUACAAUAAGAGAGUGACCAGAGUCAAGGACGUCAUUUACAAAAUUCAAGAGAAUGUUUAGGAACACAAUUGAAUGAAAUAUCCACAAAGAAUAGAUCAACUUAAGAGGAAGAUCAUCUUACCUAGUAAAAAGAGAAGAUAUGAAAUAAACAAUUGAGGAAAUUUAACAAAGUAUAGAGGUUUGCGUUACCUCAAAAUAUAUUCAGGUUGAAAUAAGUUACGUGAGGGUUGUAAAAUGAAGGUCGUUUAGAAUAAAAGCAAAAUCUUCCUUCAAGAAACUUAGAGUAUACUUAGGUACAUGACCAAACAAAGAUAUGCAUAAAUUGUAAUAGGGUCGGAAGAAAAGAAGAAGUUGUUUUACAUCAAAAUGAUUUCUAAGGUAAAGAUAGAAUAUGUAAAGUUUAAAAGAUGGAAUUUAAUUGGACUAAGAACCAAAAGUAAUUUCUCAAGAGUCUUAAAAGGUACUUAGGUGUUUAGUCAAUUAGAGGUACGUAAUGAAAUUGCGGUAAAGUUGAAAAGAAUUCAAAUUUUGUUUCAAAGGAGAAUUUGAGAUAAAGUCUCAGAAUACAUAAGCUCUCAAAAUUCAUAUGAGUAAGGGCAUGCUAGAUUCAAAACAUCUUCAUUAAAUUUAAAGAAUGACUCUGGAUAUAAUCAAGCAAGAGAAGAUUGAUUGAAAAUUUCUUCAAAGAGAAUCCAAAACUUCUUUAAAAAGGUCUAAAACCAAAAUUUUGAAUGUAUUAUUGAAAUCGCAACCUCAUAAAGAUAUUAAAAAAGAUUGAGAAAUGCAAGGAAGGAAAUUCAUUCACAUUUCAAGAAAGAAACUUAAAUCAAGUAGUUCAAACAGAAUUCAAAAGGCAUGACAGAUCGAACAAGUUCUCAGCUGAUCUAAAUGAAUACAAAACUCAUAAGGAAAAACAACUCAGCCAACAGCAAAAUCUCAAAGAUUUCAAUGAUCACUUUGAUGCAUCAAACAAGUUCAAAGCACAUCAAAGAGUACAUGAGUCAAGAAAAAGAGUUUAAACAACAUAAGGCAGAUAUCCAAGGAAUGUAAGCAGACAUAUGCAGUCAACAUCAAACGAGUAUGCAUAUGCACAAGGAACAGGGUUUGAGAAUAAUCAGUUUACUUUUCAAAAAAGAGAUCUCAAACAGGAAUUUCAAAGCAAACCAUGAAAGAACACGUCACAAGUCAUUAGCAAAAUUUCAAGACACAUAACAGAGUAACCUCGAGAAUUAACUCCUAACAUUCCCAAACCCGUAAACCGCAUCAUUUAUUAAUCCUAUUUUAUCUAUGAUAACCCAUUAACUUCUCGUACACAUAAACCAUCAACAUUAAGUUGGCCAGACUUAACAUCAGCAGAUAUGCAACGGUAAGCUAAUAGCGUUAAUCAAUAGACAGUCAUGUGCAUAAAGUUCUAACUCUCGUCAUCAGGACAAGACCUAUAACAUGACAGAUACUCAGUGUAUGCAACGAAGUAUAGUCAGUCCACUCCCAAGCUCUAAUCAGGAUGAACUACUCUGAUAUCAUAAUGUAACUCCUUUACUUUUAGCACCUCAUGAUCGCACUAAAGGUUCAGGCGUUACUUACCUCUAAUCUAUUAAUUUCAUAUUAUAAUUAUUUAAUAUUGAGCUUUCGCGAAUAAAAACCGAAUCCUUAGUUACGAAAUCAAAAAGCCUUUACUUUAAUUCACUUAAUCACACAAUUAUAUCCACAUAAUAAUAAAUACAUAGAAUUAUUCAAAACUCAAAAUACAAGUCGUGCCCCUCUAAAAUCUCAAAAUGACAAUUGACGAGGGAUAAAAUCACAACUAAACCAUCAAACAGAAAAUAUAACAUAUAUAUAAAUCUUGUAGAUCGGUUGCGGCUUUGCGCCAACGCUUUCUGAACCUGUUACUGAAAAGAAAUCAUGUAGGGGGUGAGAACAUCGUCCUCACAGGUUCUUAGUAGGGACGGGAAUAUCAUCAAAGCAAAGAAAUACUUGCAAAUAGAAUAAUUUUCAUUACAAAAACAGAUUACCUUUGAAAUAAUCUUUUGGAAAAGUUUUGCAAAAAAUCUUACUUUAAAAGGUCGUAAAGAAACUCUUUUAAUUUACAAGCCCAGCAGGUGAAUAGUUUAAAGGACAAAAGAACCAAAGACAUGCCUGAGGGCUUUCAGCCCCAUGACUUACCCCACUCAAAUCCAAAACUGGGUAUAACUACAACAUACACACUUAAGCUUUUAUCCAACAUUCUACUCAGCCUAUCUCUUUUCAUUUACACAGUCUAUCCGCAUAUAACUCAGUAAUUCAGUAUUAAAACUCAGUUUUCAACAAACAUCCCAUCAUCAACAUCAAGAAUAACCCUCAGCGUCACCAUAGCUAGCAUGAGGGAUCUCUCAGUUGUCAAACACAGACAAGACAAAGCAAAGCAUACACAAUUAGAUAGUACAGAUAAAGCAAUUAGGUCAAUUAGCAGAUAGAUACAAUUAUUCAAUUAGGUAAACCCACAAACAAGAGUCACCCAAAUAAUACACACAAAUGCAAAUGAUGCAUGUCUGCCCUAUGGCUAAUGAUAUCAUCUGUCGGUUAUAUAGCCAACCCGACAUGUCCUGGUAGUUAACCAUUGGACAUUCCCUGCAAGCACACAUCCUCAAGCUCAAAAUCAUAACCAUUCAAUAUCUAUAUAUCCAUGGGGGAGAGCUCAUCCGGAAAGGAAUAAGUGUCUGGUCACACUUACGACGCAGGAUCAACAGAAUCUCGGAUCUCAACUUGGAGCAAGUGGAGCCGGCCCACUGCAUCUACCCAAGAAAAUCCUAAAUCNNNNNNNNNNNNNNNNNNNNNNNNNNNNNNNNNNNNNNNNNNNNNNNNNNNNNNNNNNNNNNNNNNNNNNNNNNNNNNNNNNNNNNNNNNNNNNNNNNNNNNNNNNNNNNNNNNNNNNNNNNNNNNNNNNNNNNNNNNNNNNNNNNNNNNNNNNNNNNNNNNNNNNNNNNNNNNNNNNNNNNNNNNNNNNNNNNNNNNNNNNNNNNNNNNNNNNNNNNNNNNNNNNNNNNNNNNNNNNNNNNNNNNNNNNNNNNNNNNNNNNNNNNNNNNNNNNNNNNNNNNNNNNNNNNNNNNNNNNNNNNNNNNNNNNNNNNNNNNNNNNNNNNNNNNNNNNNNNNNNNNNNNNNNNNNNNNNNNNNNNNNNNNNNNNNNNNNNNNNNNNNNNNNNNNNNNNNNNNNNNNNNNNNNNNNNNNNNNNNNNNNNNNNNNNNNNNNNNNNNNNNNNNNNAUAUAUAUAUAUAUCCAUGGGGGAGAGCUCAUCCGGAAAGGUAUAAGUCUGGCCACAUUUACAACACAGGGUCAACAGGAUUUCGGAUCUCAACCUGGAGCAAGUGGUGCCGACCCAUUGCAUCUGCCCAAGGAAAUCCAAAACUUAGAUAGUUUCACAAAUCUCAAAUCAUUCUCAACUGGGAGCAAGUGGAUCAAUGCCACUGCAUCUACCCAGGCAGGUAUAUAUAUACAUACAUCAAUCAGAAUCAAUUUCAUUAUCCAUUUCAUCCUCAAUCUUAUCAUCGAUCUCAUUCUCAAACUUAUAUCAAUCUCAUUCUCAAUCUCAUAUUCAAUAGUAUUUAAACUCACUCAUAAUCAUCUUUCAUUAUCAUAUUUAAUUACCAUUCAUCAUCACAAUCACCCUCAUCAUAGAUUACUCCUCGUUUUGUUCAUUAUCAUCUAAUUCACUAACUUAGCUCUUUAGGUUUUGUUCUCAACUCCUCUAUCCUUAAUUCCAUCGACAUCAAACUCGUAUAAGAAUUAUAAAGAUUUAGAAGACUCGAGAAAUGGUUGAAAGCUUAAAAACUCAUUUUUCAAAAAAUUGUGGUGGUCGCGUACGUAACCCAUGUUCGCAUACGAACGAGUGUUGGCAGUGGCCAACACCCGCGUACGCACGAUGAGUUCUGCGCACGCAUUACAUAUCAAAACUUGAAAAAUUCUGAUAUGUUGCAGAAACCAAUUCUUUCAGCCCAAAGUUCAAACCUUCAUAACUUUUUCCAGAAAACUCAUUUUUCAACCAUUCUUGAACCGUUAGAAAGAUCGAUAACUUGAUAUUCAGAAAAAUCAAAUUUUGUAAAGUUUUUCCAACUCCGAGGGUCGAGUCAUAACCUGCUGAAGUUAGCCAAAAAUCAAUUUGAACAAUAUAUAAGUUACCAACCUUUCCAAAGAUUCACAAGCCUUAUCAGUUUCUACUCAAUAUAAUGAUUUCCAAAACCUUCCCAAAUCACUCUUUCAUAAUCGACCAAACUCAAAUCAUCCAAUUCACGUCUCAACUCCUCAAUCAAAACUAAUUAUCACUAAUCACAUCUCAUUCUCAAGCAUGACCUUCAAACUCACACUUCUAUUCCCAAACCCUUAAAUUUAUAAUUAAUUUACGUAUUAAUAUCCUUAGCUAGUUAUCUAAAUCUCUUCUCGUUGUCAUUAAAAUCACAUAAAUUAAAAUCAUAAAUCAACCAAAUCAUAAAAAUCCGAUUCUCUUUGAAAUCAUUUAAAACAUUCAAAACUUGUCUCUUUGACAAUUAAUUCAAACCAAACUCAUUUUCGAAAUCAUAACUAAAACAACUCCAAAUUCUUAGAAAAAUUUUGGCAACACCUCCCUUAAAAACUGGAGUUUGCCGCCCAUCACAGGUCCCCUCUUUUCAAUCCUCAACACAACCAAAACCAGCCUCUCAAUUUAACAUUUCCAAAUCCGUUAUUCAAAACCAUUCAUUAUCAUUUCAAUAUAAAAUCCAAAAAUCAACGUAUUAAAUCAAUUUUACCAGAAACUCAGAAAUCAACCAAUAAACAACAAACAUAACCUUUCAAUCACAGUAGAAAAUCAUUUACAUCACAGGCAUUCAUCUGCUAAACUUAUAAGGUAUUCAAAGCCCAAAACAUUUUUAUUUUAAAACAAACCCCCUACCUCAAAAGUCGAACCCCUUUUUAUUCUUAACUUGCGGCAGUGACCUCAUUGACUUUCAGGCAAUAUCAACAGCGACAAUCAAGGUUCACAGCAACGACAACUUAUCUGACAUAAACUGGGAUUCAAGUGAAAUGGAUAUUAAAUGAAAUUAGAACAUAAUUGUUAAUAGAGUAUUAUGGUAAAUAGGAACGGAACCAAUUAGUCUCACCACGAGAAACGAAGCAGGACGAUAUCGCAGCAGUUUUUAUUUUAAUCAUACAAUUUUCAAAACUCGACCUCGGGAUAUUAACAUCACGAAAUUCUCAAUAAUUUGUAGCCGAAUAAUAGAGGUAAGGUUUUCAAGACUAGAAUAACUCACUGCAGCUAAAGAGAAAUGAGGCAACAGAGCGGUAGCAACUCCAGCAGCUACCUUGAAUGACGGCGGCAGCCUGAAUCUCUACUGAUAGCAACUGUAACAACCAGGCAGCGACAAUAAUGUUUCCAGAAUUCAAAAGGACAGAAACCAAAUUCAAAAACCUUACCGACAAUGGACCUCAGCUACCACAGCACUUUUUUCCGGUGACGGAGCACGCGACGGUGACGGCGCGAGACUCGGCGACGGUGACGCGAUGGCUCGCCUCCUUCCUCGCGUCGCAUCGUCUCUGUCUCUCUCAAUCUCGGUGUUGCUCUCCCUUUCUCCUUCGAUCUCGACGGCAUCGGACCCACAGCGACGGCGGCAGCGAGGAUAAAUGGCGCAAACACAGCACCGACAACGCUCUCCUUUCUCUCUUCUCCUCUCCACGUUGGCGCCAGUAACGAUGGGCAGCUGGGCGGCGACGACGACACGACGACAGUGAUGUCUGCCGACGCCGUCCUCCCUCUCUUCUCCUCUGUCUCUGUUUCUCCCUCUUUCCCGCCGCUCUCUCUUUCCCCCUUCUUGCUCCCUUUUCUUUCUUUCUUUCUUUCCUGAAGGGUGACGGCUAGGGUUAAAGGGUUAGGGUUUUGUCGGUUUGAUUUUAGGGUUAUGGUUUUAUUUGGAGAAAAUGUGAAAUUAGGGAUAUUAGAAAAAUAUAAUUAAAUUAGGGUUAUGGUUUUAUUUGGAAAAAUUGGAAUUUAGGUAUUUUUAAUAAAACUAGGGAUAUUGUAUUAAAUUUAAAUCUAAUUUAAUCUCUAAAUAUUAUUUUAAAAAAUAUUAUUUAAUUAUUAAUUUGCUAAUUAACUCUCAAUCAAGUAUUCUAAUUUAAAAUAUAAGAUAAUAUAAUUUUUCCGAAAAUUCUGGGUCUUACAGAUGACACUAGUAAUAUGGACAACUCCGUCCAAAUGAUAAAGAUGGUCUGGGAUAUCUCUUAUUAGCAAAGUAUUUGAAUGUUGGAGUCUUUGGGCUGAGGUAUCUCUGGAAUUUGGUGGGAUUGAAUUUUUGAAUUGUAGUUCAAAUGAGCUAAAAUCAAACUCUAUUUAUAGCAAAACUAUUAGUAAAUCGAAUGAGACUCAUUCGAAUUACGAUGGGCGCACAUUGUAUGUAAUUUGAAGCUGCCUAAAUUGAAUUACUAUGUGUAGCAAACUAUGGAUAAAUCGAAACAGGUUGUUUCGAAUUAUUGUGGGCGUACGUGCAUGGGCAAAUCGACCUAUACUACUUCGAUUUACUAGCUGAAUCACGUGCAUGCAUAAAUCAAUACAAUGUGAUUUGAUUUACUAUGAUACGUUACAUGCAUGCAUAAUUCGAUUCACCCUGCUUCGAUUUGCAUGUUUUCAACGUAAUUCGAUUUGGGCUGGUUCGAUUUAGUAGGAAAAUUUGUAAAUCGAACACGCCUCAUUCGAUAUAUAUAGAUACACCCAUUUGGUAGAUCAACGUAACGUUUUUUGGUUUGGGUGAUGAUUUGUGUAAUAUAGGGUUGCAUUUGGUUUAUUUAUGCAUUUUACCCUAUUUUUAAAUAGUGAAUAAUAUGAAUAAAUAGUAACAAGUACGUAUAUAUAAAUAGUAAUAUACGGUAAUUGUAAAUAGUAAAAUAUAAUAUCUGUAAAUAGUAAAAUACAGUAUCUAUAAAUAGUAAAAUAUGGUAUAGCAACAUAUAGAAAAUGACAGUUUGGCAAAAUAUUAGUAUUGACAGAAAAUAACUACAAACAUAGUGUCUACUCUUAGAUUGAUUCUAAUGAAUGGACGGUUAUUUUAUGUAUCAACUAUUUUUUGGUCGGUAUAGUUAUAGCAGUAACUGAAGUUUCACAAAAGUAAAGAUAUUUUAAUCUUUGACAGAAACUCUUCUAAAAAACUUUAAGAGAAAGAAAAUAACAUUAAGAGAAAGAAAAUAACAUGUGUAUGUGUGUGGUACGAAGAAUUGAGAGAGAGAAAUGGGUCCAUACAGGGGAGGGGGAGGUGCUGUUCGUAGAGGAAGAAGAAAAGAAAUUUAAUAAAAUAUUUGAUGCACGGGCACCGGUUGCCAUGAGUCCGCGAAUGGUAAUACCUCACCAAUAGAGAGUGUAGGGCAAGGCGAGUCCAGCCUUCACAGCCUUGGCAAUGACGUGCAGGAGCAUGACGCCGCUCUCCACUGUGAUGGUCUUGGCCUCUGCAUCGACCUUGAGUACCUUGUUGAGACUGUUGGUGCUUAUGAGCAAGCUAUCUUUGCCGUCCAGGCAUGCCAGCUUGGGGAUAUGCUGUGGGAGAGUAGCGGGUGGCGGCUUUCAUCUUUCUGUUAUUCUUGGUGGCUGUGGCCACUAUGGAUAUGAGCUUUUCUCUGUGCUUAGGUACUUCAUCUCUCUUGCUUCGCAGAUUCUUCUAUUAGGGAAUAUGCCAAUGAAGUUGGUUAUCGUGCAGUUUAUGUUCUUUGAUGUGCACUUUACUAGGUCCUCUAGAGGGCUUGAUAUCACUCCGUUAUUCACACAUAGGACCAUUAUUACAAAGAUGACAACAUGAUUGGAUUUCAUCUUUCUAGAGUACAUCAUUGUAUUUUGUACUUUGUGAUGAUGCUAUCUAGCUAGGUUAUUAUUGUUGAACUCUGAUGAUCUACAUUUAUGUACUACUAGAUAAUCAACUAGGGUAUUAGCCAACUACAAACAAGUAUUAGUUGGGCUGCAAAAAAGAUCAGAAAACACAAAAUAUGUAAUCCAUCCCAAAAUGUUAAUUUUACUACCACAAUAAAAAAACAAAAACCAUCUAAAACCCUAAUCACUUCACUUCACUCUCCCACAUCUUUCUUCCAAAAAAAAGCCUCCUUCCGCAGCGCUUUCCUCCGCCGUGCAUGCACUUCCUUCUGCCGUGUGUGUGCUUCCCUCUACCGCGCCCUUGCUUCUCUCCGCCGUGCAUUCGCUUUCCUCCACUGUGCCUUUGCUUCCUUCCGCCGCAUUGUUGCCCCUCUUCCGCGUGUCUCUCUCUGACGUGGUCAGCCUCUUCGCCUUGCUCAUCUUCCUUUACACAUAAUUAUCAAUGACAGAACCUUAUUUUUUGGAGGUUUUGGAUGUUGACUUUUCAGAGUUUUUAGAUGUUGAUGAUUGUUAUGUUUGAUUUUUUGGAUAUUUCUUGAUUUAAGAAAAAAAAUCCAAAACAAAAAAAAGCAUCCAAAAUAUAAUAAAAGAAACAUAUAAAACUAAAUAAAAAGAAACAUCUAAAAUUAUUAUAGAAAGAAUAUUUAAAACCUAACAAAAAGAAACAUUUGAAAUGUAGCAAAAAGAAAUAUCUAAAAUCAUUGUAUAAGAACUUCCAAAGAUCCGGAGAAGAAGUCGUGGAGGUAGGCGUAGAGAGAGACGCAGAGAGAAAUAAGAAGAGGAAGAAGAAGUGACAUGGAAGGAGAGAAGAGAGAUGAACGGGGUGGACGGGCAUGUGGUUUUUUAGCGUAAAAUCAAUUUUUAAAAUUUUAAAACUGUAAUUUUUUGAAAAAUUAACUGCUUAGUUACAUAUAGAGUUGGUUCGAUAGACUUUUUCUUUUUUGACUAAUAUGGAGAGAAUGGAACCAUGGAACCAAAGAAUAUAUUAUAUUAAAGGAUUUUUUCUGAAAUAAAAUAAAAAAAUUAUUAUUUUUUCAAACACGAUUUUUGAACUUUAAUUCUCCAAAUACGAUUUUUUUUAGAGCAAGUUCGCUGCAUCCGACGAACUCUAUAAAAAUUAUAAAGUUCGUCUUACCCUCUCCCGAACUCCAUUCAAAUUUAUAGAGUUCGCCUUACCCUCCCCCGAACUCCAUUCAAAUUUUUAAAAAGCUUUUAAUCCAUAUCGUCGUCUCUAAAAUAGUAUAUAGAUCUCCAAACAGUAUAUAAGAGUACACAAAAAUACACCGACAACAAACAUGGCUUCUUCAAGGAUUUUUUUUAAUUAUAAAUUUAAAAAAAUAAGCCAUAUUUAACAAUGAUAAAUAUAUCAGAUUGAGUUUAGAAAGUUAACAAUGGUAACUAUUAUCAUCAUCUUCACAUUGGUUGCCAUUGCCACCAACAAUGUUGAAGAAAUCAUACUUGUUGUCUGUGUAUUUUUGUGUACUCCUCUAUAUACUGCUUGGAGAUCUAUAUACUAUUUUGGAGACGAUAAUAUCGAUUAAAAGCGUGGGUUUUUAAAAAUUUGAAUGGAGUUCGGAAGAGGGUAAGGCGAACUCUAUAAAUUUAAAUGGAGUUCGGAGAAGGGCAAGGCAAACUUGCUCUAAAAAAAAUCGUAUUUAAAAAAAUUAAAAUUUAAAAAUCAUAUUUGGAGAAGUAAUAAUUUUUUUUAUUUUAUUUCAAAAAAAAAUCCAUUAUAUUUGAGUAAUGUUAUAUGGUUAGUAUGUUUUAUUUUUUUUAUCGACAAUUACUUAAUAAUAUUUAAAAAUAUUAGUUAAAAGAAUAAUAAUAAAUUGUUAGACUAAAAAUAUUAANNNNNNNNNNNNNNNNNNNNNNNNNNNNNNNNNNNNNNNNNNNNNNNNNNNNNNNNNNNNNNNNNNNNNNNNNNNNNNNNNNNNNNNNNNNNNNNNNNNNNNNNNNNNNNNNNNNNNNNNNNNNNNNNNNNNNNNNNNNAUUCUAACUGUUUUUUUUUUAUCUCCUUAAUAUUAUCAUUAUAAAAAAUAUUAAACUCCUAAUAUUUGUGAACAUUGAUUUUCUCGUUAAGUAGCUUGUAAUUAAACUUUUGCAAAUUUACCAGCUAGUUUUAUGUACCAAAUUGAACGAACUAAUUACUUGUAAAUAUGAAUAGGAUUACAGUAGGAUAAAAAACUUCAUUAAUUCAAAUAAAAUUUCAAGUUUACUAUUUUAGUCAAAAUUUAAUCUUUCAAUAAUAGUAGUAUCAAAAUUUCUAAAUCCACAAAUAAACACUUUUUAAGUUUGAACUAAAUUCACAUAAUUUUUACCGUUUUUUUUUUUCUCUCAACAAUCAUCUUGUGUUUUGUGUAUGGUUUAUUUUUUCAAUUAAAUAGGGUAAAAAAGAGAAAAUAGAUAAAUGAAAAAUGAGUAACAUGAAAAACUAAACCUAAUUAACAAUAGAAAAAAAUAUAGAGAACUAAUUAGCCAACAUUAAUAUUUAUAUUUAUAAUUUAGGAUUUAAUUAUAAAUUUAAAGAUUAAUGAUAAUAGAAUUGGUAGCUAAAUAGAUAGUCACAGCAAUGUAAUUGCACUCAACGAUUCAAUUUAGCAAUGGGUAAGCCUAAACCCUUAUUGUUGCGUGCUGUUACCAAAUUCAAUUUGCAUUGUCCCUGCCCGCCCCAUCAGGUGCUGCAGAGAAACAGAGUAUUCCAAGCCAGACAGCCUUUUAAUUCAGCCUUCAUUCAAUUUUUUACUCUAAUAAUAUUAUUGAAUUAAUUUUUUAAUUAAAUCAUUAAAGUUGUUAUUUUUGUAAUUUUAUUUUUAUUUUUUCUUUCUCAAUUUACCGUGCAUAUAUCGUCAUCAUUGUUGUAUUAUUACUGUAUUUUCGCCGUCAUCACUUUUUUUUAUUAAAACAAAGCACAUCUUUCUUUUUUCAUUGAUAGUUGCAUUUGCAUAUCUUCUUUUUUACUAAUAAACAUUAGUUUUUUUCGUAUUAUAAUUUAAUUAAAAUAAAAUAAAACAAAAUGACGAAUUAAUAUAUACAUAGAUUCUCCAUNNNNNNNNNNNNNNNNNNNNNNNNNNNNNUAUAAUACAUCAAAUUUAAUAACAAAUCUAAAAUAAUAUGAUAGUAUAUAAAAUAUUUUUUGAACACCUUCAAAACUCAUACAAACUCAUGGUUAUAAUUUUUAUUAUUAAAUUUUUGAGAAUACUACAUGACUAGCAAAUAUUAUUAUUUUUUGCCAGUAAUAAUGUGUAUCUAGCUAUAUUUACAAAUAUUUUGCACAUAACAAAUAUAUAAUUUGUAUCUAUAUUUAUUAUAAUUUUGCACACAUAAAUCAAUACAAUUUAUAUCUAAAUUUUUUUUGAAUUUACACACAUAAAUUAAUAAAAUUUAUUUAUUAAAAAUAAUUUAGUAUUUAUACUAAUUAAAUGAUGACAAAAAAAUACUAAAAAUUGUUAGCUCCAAGAAUUUUUCUAAAUCUUUAUUAUUACACAUCUUUUUUUUUCCAAAGAUAAUAGGUUAUAUUUCAUUAAUUAUUAAAAAAUGAAAUACAAAGAUAUCCAAAAGUAGAACAGCAUAAUAAAAUGUGGGGAUUUCCCAAAAACACUACAUUGAAGGUAUUCAUCCAAUGGUGCGUGAUCGAAAAACGAAAAAAAAAUCUUAAAGAAGAAAUAAUGAUAAAUCAAAUUGAAUGCAACUAAGAGCUUGUCUCAUGGAGAUUACGACCUAAACUGGGAGUUCUUUGGAUUUCACGAAGUAACUUGACAGAGCUUGCUAGAAUGGCAGACAGCAUAGAAGUAGAACCUUCAAAAAUCAACUGGUUGCGAGCUUUCCAGCAAUUCCAGCAAAUGAUGGCAAGCAAUUGAGGAUUACGGUCAGCAUUCUUCAACGGGUUAAGUAUCUCUGUUGAUGCAGUCCACCAUGUCCAAAAGUCGUUAGAACUCUGAGGGGGAAGACAGUCACGAAGAUAACUCUGAGACCAUACGUCUUUAAUUCUAGAGCAAUCGAUCAGACAAUGAGUGACUGUUUCCGUUGCUUCAUGACAGCAAGGGCAUAUUGGUGAUAUAGAUGGGAUGCGGUGAUGAAUCUGAGCAAGCACCGGAAGUCGGCCAUGGAGAGUUUUUCAGAUAAAUAGCUUAAUUUUGUGAGGCAAGUUCAACUUCCAUAGAUCAAUCUACGGCUUUUUCUGCUGCAUAUAAUUAGGGCAAAGCUCCAGAGGCGGAUGGUAAAAUAAAUAGCCAAUUCUAUAACCUGAAGCUGUAUCAUAUUGCUUAGAUUUGUUCAAAUCUCAUUGCAAUUUGUCCCUACUCUGCUGAAUUUUAACUGACAAAAUCCUGUUUGCAACGUCUUGGGGAAAUAAUUCUUGAAUGAGAUUCUGAUUCCAAUUUCUAUCUUCAGUAAUUAGAUCUUUAACUCUUGGAACCAACUCAGAAAUAGCCUGUCUAUUUGGCAUGUCAGAAAUCAUUAAAGGAUACGGAGGAGGCAGCCAAGGAUCCUCAAAGGUUCGGAUAUUCUCACCAGUACCCACAACUCAAUUAAGACCUUUUUCAACAAUCUUUCGGCCUUCCAGUAUGCUCCUCCAUCCCCAAGAAGGUAAGACUCCAAUUUCUGCCGUUAUAGCAUUACCAUUGCUAAAGUAUUUACCUCUUAAGAUUUUGGAUAAUAAGGAAGUAGGCUGUGUUACAAGUUGCCAAAACUGUUUGCCUAAAAGUGCCAGAUUUUGGAUUCUGAGAUCUUUAAAUCCAAGGCCUCCUUCUUUUCGUGGGCGAGUCAUAGUGUCCCAGCUAAUCCAAGCCAUCCUCCUUUCAGAACCUUUUUGUCCCCACCAUAACUGAGAAAGUAGAGAGUGAAUUUCCGAAAUUAAACCAUCAGGCAACUUAAAGCAAGACAAUAUAUAAAUAGGAAUAGCUUCUCCCACUGCCUUAAGCAAUACGUGUCUACCACCUGACGAAAGAAGAUUGCGCUUCCAUCCUUGGAUUCUUUUCCAAACCUUUUCUUUGAUCAUACUAAAAGAAGCCUUUUUCGAUUUAGAGACUGUAGAAGGCAAACCAAGGUAUUUAUCCUGAGCCCCAAUAUGAUUAAUAUUCAUAGAGUUAGCCAGUAGUGUACGAGUAGUGGACGGAGUGUUGUGGCUAAAGAAUACAGCAGAUUAUUAAGAUUUACCCUCUGGCCACUGAUGCUUUCAUAAGAAUUCAAUAAAUGCAAGAUAUUUGAACAUGCUUCAGGAUUAGCCUUACAGAAUAAAAUGGAAUCAUCAGCAAACAGGAGGUGGUUGACCUUGGGACAUCGCAUAUGUAUCUGAAGACCCUGAAUUAGUCUGUUUUGUUCUGCCUUGUGUAACAAGAAGGAGAAACCUUCUGCACAAAAAAGAAAAAGAUAGGGGGAUAGAGGAUCUCCUUGUCGAAUACCUCUAUUUGGUUUGAAGAAACCAUAAGGUUGUCCUUCCACAAUAACAGAAUAAGAAACAGUUGUCACUAAUUCUCGAAUCCACAUGAUCCAUCGGGAGUCAAAACCAAACUUCUCCAAUAUAAACCAAAGAAAGUGUCAUUCCACCCUAUCAUAUGCCUUACUCAUAUCUAAUUUUAGCGCCAUUUUAUUUUCGAGACCCCUUUUUGUUCUUCAAGUAAUGCAUACACUCGUGAGCAAUUAGGAUAUUAUCAGAGAUUAAUCUGCCUUUAAUAAAAGCACUCUGCGUAGGGCUAAUUAGUCUAUUCAUCAUACCCUGAAGCCUAUGUACAAAUACUUUGGAGAUAAUCUUGUAAAAGACUGAAGAUAGACUUAUUGGUUUUAUCUGAGUCAUAUCUUUAGCAUCAGAAAUCUUGGGAAUAAGACAGAUCUGAGUGUGGUUAAAACCCUUCAAGAUUCUACCCCCAGAAAAGAAGCUCUUAACUGCUCAAAAUACAUCACCACUAAGUAUGUUCCAGAAGCUUUGAAAAAAUUUUGCUGUCAUACCAUCAUCUCCUGGAGCACUUUGAGGAUGAAUGCUAAAUGUUGUGCGUUUCACUUCCUCCAUAGUCACUGAUCUUUGAAGCCUACGGUUCAUGUGAGCUGUAACCUUAGGUUCAAAAUCAAUAAACAGAGGUUCAGGGUUCUCAUGACAAGUGGAGGAAAAGAUGUCCUUGAAAUAAGAUUCAGCCACAGAAGCAAUACCAACAUUUGAAGUAGCCACUUCACCAUCACUGCCAGUUAGUUGCCAAAUUCUAUUCCUUCGGGUUCGGUUUCUAAAUUUCUGAUGGAAGAAAGCUGUAUUCUGAUCACUAGAUUUGAGCCAUUUGACUCUAGACUUAUCUUUCCAAUAAGAUUCCUCAUUUUGCAAUGCUUUUUCAAGUUUGUCCUCUAUUUCUGAAAUGAUGUCGCCUCCAUGAAUUCCUGCUAAACGAAGUUCCUCUAAUUCCGACUGUAGUAAAUCAAUCUCCACCUUCGAAUUAGAUCUGUGUUCUUGCUGCCAUCUGACAAUCUUAUGCCGACAACGCUUUAUUUUUUGAGCUAGGAUAUACAUGGCUGAACCAUCAAUCUGUUCAUGCCAAACCUCUCUAACAAUCUGCCUUAUUUCAUCAUUGGAACACCAUCUUUCUUGGAAUUUGAAUCGGCGUUUAGAUCUCUCAGUUCUCGGAUUAGAGUAUAGGAGAAGAGGGCAUGAUCCGAGCCUGAUUCUGACAGUCUAAGAACCGUUGCAUUGGGAUAGAGUUGCUGCCAAUCAACUCCUACCAGGAAUCGGUCCAGUCUUUCCUGUAUCAACUCAUCACCCCUCCGUCUAUUUGAUCAAGUGAAUGGUCUUCCGACCAUACCAAUAUCAAUCAGGGAAUUAUCAUCAAUAAAACUAUUAAAGGUUUCAAUAGGAGAAGGAGAUUUAGCACCCUCACCUUCUUUCUCCAAUUGAUUAGAAAUGUCAUUAAAAUCCCCCAUUAACACAACCUUACCAUCGAACUGUUGGGUGACUGAAGUUAAUUCAGCAAAUUGAGCCAUUCUAUGUUGAUCAUUUGAACUGAGAUAAACACCUAGAACACCAUAGGGAUCAUUAGAACCAGCUGUCAGAACUGAUGCCGCAAUGAAAAAUCUACCAUGCUGUAAAAUCUGAACAGUGCAACCAUCCCUCCAUGCCAUUGCCAAACCCCCUGAUAAUCCAUCCGGAUCUACAAUAAACCAUUCCUUGAAACCACAAGAUGUUAGUUUUCCUUCAACUUGUCGAGAUUGAUUUUUUGUUUCACAGAUAAAACCAACCUCGGGGGAGUAGGAUUUGCAAAUCCCUUUAAGAUUGUGGAUUGUCAGGGGCCUCCCCAAACCCCGACAAUUCCAUGAGAGCAGUUUCAUAUUUCUUUGGGUGCCACUUGAAGGCCGGCACCCUCCACCGUCAUAGCAAUUAUAUGAGGGUUCUGAGUCUCUUAUUUGUUGCUCAUGGUGUAGAGAAAAUCAGAAUUGGUAUUCAAUGAUUCCAAAGAGACAUAAGAUAUAUGGAAUGAGUGAAUUAGAAAACGGAAUGAAUUAAAAGAGGAAUGAAUUGGGAGAGAAAACGAAAAUUAGGGAGCUAAGUGGAAAAGAAAUUAAGAAAAGAAAGUAGAAGAAGAUGGAAAAGAGUUUGCCGAAGAAAAGACAAAAAAAGGUGUAACCAUGGAGGCGGUGCAGUGAAACUGUUGGUUUAUGGUAUAACCAGAAAUAUUUAGGACAGAGAUAUAAGAAAAAUACGUAGGUGAAAGGAAUGGGAAUCACUCAUUUUUACUUUACUGAAGCAGUACAUUUAUAGGAUUUUAAUCCAUGACACUACCACAUCACCACUAAACUAGGAAGUGGGAUGAACAGAAACUGCCACAUACCCACUAGAUAAGGAAGUGGAAUAACAAAAACUACUUUUCUCCUAAAGUGCAGGAACCACUAAUUGACUAAAACAACAAACUGAAACAAUAAUAAAAAAAACUUAAUGCAGUCCAAAAGCAAAUAAUUAACACUCCUCCUUGCUUUAGGAUCUGCAAACUCCAAUUUUCUGCCUCAAUAGCUCAAACUUGCUGACAGGAAGUGGCUUUGUAAACAAAUCUGCCUUUUUCCAUUUUGGAUCCUUGAGUGCUUCUUCACAGCAACUAGGUUCGCAUACUACUACAUUGCAUCUUUGAUAAAUGUCUGACAGCAGUCUUGUGCCUCUGAUGGGAUGAUCAUCUUCUAAUUCAUUUUGACACAACUCUGUUGUUUGGUUUCCGCCAUAAUCAUCUUCAAUAUUGUUACAAGGUUCAAUUGUUUUUCGUGGGUUCUUCCAAUCCCAUUGUUGAUCUUCAUUGAAAUGGACAAGCUUUUUACAAAGCCUAUGCUCAAUAGGUGUUCAUUUAUCCUACUGUACCAAGCUCUUGGUGCUUGUUUUAAUCCAUAAAGGGCUUUUUUUAGUAGAUAGACUUUAUCUUCUUCUCCAUGCAUAACAAAUCCCUCUGGCUGCUCCACAUAUAUCUCUUCUUGUAAAACUCCAUUUAAAAAAGCUGAUUUGACAUCUAAAUGGAAUACUUUCCAGCCUUGUUGAGCAGCAACUGCUAACACCAAUCUAAUUGUAUCUAAUCUGGACACCGGUGCAAACGUGUCAGAAUAAUCAACACCAAAAAUUUGUGCAUACCCUUUUACUACAAGUCUGGCCUUGUAUUUAUUGAUAGAGCAAUCCGCAUUAAGCUUUGUUCUGAACACCCAUUUAACUCCAAUAACUUUUCUGUCUUAAGGCUUGUCAACCUUUUUCCAUGUGUUGUUUUUUUGAAUCAUUGAAAUCUCAUCCUCCAUUGCCUUUUUCCAUUUUGGAUCCUUGAGUGCUUCUUCACAGCAACUAGGUUCGCAUACUGCUACAUUGCAUCUUUGAUAAAUGUCUGACAGCAGUCUUGUGCCUCUGAUGGGAUGAUCAUCUUCUAAUUCAUUUUGACACAACUCUGUUGUUUGGUUUCCGCAUACCUUAGCUUGUAUAUUUGAACUUAAUGGGGCAAGAGUUUUAUGAAAACGUGUAUUCUGAGUAUGAAUUAUUCAAAGAUGGAUAUUUUUAUUUCGUUGCUAUCCUUCGCUAAUUAAUUAAGAGGACCCAGGUCGAUUAAAUUGGCUCUGUAUUUUACAGUUCCAUAUAUAAUAAAAUGAUUUUUUUUUUUCAGAUUUCCGUUUGCUUACAUGUGGAAGGUUCCUUUGUUUUUUUCACGGUGCACACAAAAGAAAAAAAAAAUUAGUUAUUUCCCUUCCCUUGCCUCCUCCAGUUUAGACGACUAAUAGCAACAAUUGAAAGACAUCACAAUUUAUAAUACUGAAGAUUAAAUUAAUUACGUUAUAUUAAAUGUAUUUUAUGUUAUUUUCUUUAUUUAAAGCAAAAUUGUUUAUGUUUCCACUAUAUCGUCUUAAUUAUUAGAUAAAAAAGCAACUAAUUUGCAAUUAAAGAAAAAUUUAAGUCAAUUAUAUCGUAAAAAAACUUAUAUAUAUUAUGAAAAUUUAAGCGCAACACAUAUAAGAAUGAUAAAAUAUCAAAAUAAAAAACACAUUAAAAUUUGACAGUGAUAAAAUUAAAUAUGCUUGAACAACAAUUUACUCACAGACACUCAAAAAAAAAAAAUUAAUUACUCCAUUAUCCUCAACUAAUUUUAAUUUUUUUUAUUUAUUUUAUAUUUAAAAUUAUAAAUUUUUAACCUUAAUUAGACUCUAAAUUAUAAUUUCUAAACCCUAAAUUCUUCAUAAAAUAAAAAUUUUUAGAAUUAAAAAAAUUGACUAAUGUUAACGAAUUAAAAAUUAAUUUCUAAUACUUUUUGACAUAAAAAGAAAAAGAAAAACAUUUUUUUUUUCAAUUAGUAGAAAACAUAACAUUUAAGUUAUAUUUGUUUCUAAGCAUAAGAUGCUAAAAUAUAAACACAAAAAUAUAAAAUUAUAUUUGAGAGAUGUUAAAAGAGACAGAGACAUACCUCAAAAUAUGGAAUUAGUGUAUUUUGUAUCUUUACGAACAGAAAUAACACAAACACUAAUUUAUAAUUAUAAUUUGUUUUUUUACUAAGAGAUACAAUUUAUUUUUUUAUAUUUUUUCUUUCAUUAUUUCUAUUAUCUUUUAUAAUUAUAAAUUUUAUUAUUAUAUUUUUCUUCUUAAAUANNNNNNNNNNNNNNNNNNNNNNNNNNNNNNNNNNNNNNNNNNNNNNNNNNNNNNNNNNNNNNNNNNNNNNNNNNNNNNNNNNNNNNNNNNNNNNNNNNNUUAAAUAUUUUGGAUAAAAAAAUAAAUUAAAUUUUUAAAAUUUAUUCUUUCUUAUAUUUAACUUAUCAUCAAAUAAAAUAAUUUUGUGUCUUUAUUCUUUAUAUCUCAUCCUCAAAAUCUUUAUCUUAUUUUGUUAUGAGAAUCAACGUGUCUUAUAUUAUGCACGCUAGACUGCUAGAGUCCCUUGGGAUGCCUAGUCAUACGAAUAUUAUAGCCCAUGUCUUCAGUUUUUACAGCCUCACUCUUCUUAAUUUUGUUGUUGUGAGGCUUCAGCUGCUGCGAUUGUUUUGGUUAAGUUCAUUCCCUUGGAGAUAUUCUUAGGUUUGCUGAGAUCAGCCAUGUAGAUCGAUAUAUCAAUCAAUGCAAUCGAUCAUAAUAAUAGUAAUAAUCACUACCAGAAAUGCGGUGAUUAGCCACGGAAAAAAUCGUGGCUAAAAUCAAGAAAUUCCGUAGCGAUUAAGCUUUAACAACGAAUACAUUUCCGUGGCUAACAAGGACGACGCCUUUUCAGUUAGCCACGAUUUUCAUCCGGUUAGCCAUAGUUUUAUGAUCCGUAGAGACAUCUGAAUAGCCACGGUUUUUACGUUAUUGGCCACACUCUAAACCGUAGCUAAAUGACAACAGUGUAACCAAGUAUAGCUUUGCGACAAUUUUUCCGUGGCUAAUAUUGGUAAGCUGGGCUUUUUUGCCACAUUUUUUCCGUAGCCAAUAUUGGUAAGCUGGGCUUUUUUGCUACAUUUUUUCUGUGGCUAAACAUUGUUGGGUUAUUUAGCCACGAUUUUUUCGUGGCUAAUCAUAAAAGAUAAAUUAAAAAAUAUAUAUAUAUAAAAUAAAGAUGCUACUUAGAACAAAAUUAUAUUAUACAAAAUUAAAAAGAUUAGCCAUAUCCAUAUAAGUAAUAUUUUUAGUAAUAAAAAUAUGAAAUUUAAGUAACAAUGUUGAAAAGCAAAUAUCCUGAACUAAAUGAGUUUAAACUAUUACAAAAUCAAGUAUCAAAAUGUAUCAUUAUUAGAUCUCUAAGGUCUUCAUUGGAAUACUUGCAAAAACAUUCAAAUAAGAUUGUGUUAUCUCUUAAUUCAUGAAAAAAAGUCCCAAGACAUUAUUUAAAAUAAUAUUUUAAUGUAGUUAAAAAAAAGUAGGAAUGCAUACCAAUAAUGCUGAGUUUUCAUUUUCACAACAUAAAACAUCUUAUUGAACCCGUCAUCAAUCAAUAUAUAUAUUGCUAGACUUGAUAUCCUGGUGAACAACUUUCAAUUCAAUUGCUUCAUACAAGUAAAUGAGCAAGCCUGUCAUGAAUAAAGAUAAAAUAGAUAGUGAUAUUAAUGAUAUUUUCUCAUAUUAAAACUUAACUAUAGUAUUAUUUAACGAGACAAACGAAUACUAUUAGCGAGAUAUUGGAUUGCAAUCAAAACCAUUUAGAGAAAAAGAACUUAAAGUAAAAAUAAAAAUGUGUUAGAAAUUACUAAGGUCAAUAUUUUAAAGUAGAAAGUUGAGCUUACCAGGUAACUAUCGAAUAAAACUUUCAUGCGGACCUCCCAGGUAAGUGUCCCUUGUUCCAUGGCAACAUGCAUCCAUUACUCUAAGUUACCAUUAUUGACAUAUUCAUCCAUUAGCAGCUUAAAUAUUGAAACAAACACUAAAGCAAAAAUACUAUUGAUAAUACAAAGAAAUAGAUAAUUAGAUACUAUGUACUCGAAAAUUGUGAGAGCACAUAUAAUAACUUAAAGAAGUGCAACUUUAUUCAACGUUGGUAUCAGGACCUUUAACACUGUCUUCUACUUAGUUCAAAUUUAUCCAUAUUCAUAUAAGUUUCAAUAAUUACAAAGUUACAAAGCUAAAUUAAAAGUUGAACAAUUUAAAAUAAAACACAAACUUGCAUGGAGAUCCCAGCAUCGACAAGAGACAAAGUUGCAGCAUUGAUACACACAGAUCUAGUUCCUACACAGGAAUAUUGGGGAAGAAUUAGUGAAUGGUAAAAAAAAAUAGUCUUUUAAAUACAAAAAAAAUUAAAGAUUCAAGAGAAUAUUAGAUAAAUAUAAAAAAAGCUGCUUAGGGUUCUUUCCAUUCUUCUUUGUAAUUCAGGAUUACCUGCAAAAUCUUCGAUUUUCGCUAUUUUGGGACCUUCUUUGGUAAUUUAACGUUGAAUUUACUAAGGAUACAGAGAAAAUGAACAAUAGUAUGAACUGUGAAGGAGUUCUUCCAAUUUUCCAGUGAGUGGGCUUUACUUUGGUGUUGAGUGAAAAUUACUUUUAAGUUUUUCGCCCAAAAUUUCACUUGUAAAAGUUCAUUUGAAUUUAUUUCAGUCAAGUAAUUGAGAUUUUUAAUUUAAAUUAAUAGUUAACUAUAAAAAAUAUAUAAAUUAUAAUAUAUACCAUAUUUCAAAGACGAUACAUACUAAUUACUGUUACGUUAAUUUAUGUUGGAUAUUUUUUUUUACUAAAUUGAUAAAAAGAUAAUAAAAAAAUAAAAAAAUUAAAUUUAGAAAAACUAAUGCAUAUUGUAAAUUAGAGACAAAAAAAAUGUACUCUUUUUUAUCAUGAAUUUUAUAUAUACUUUUAACAUUCAUUCUCAAUUAAUUAAAGCAAUAAGUAUGUAUUCUUUUUAUACUAUUUUAACUAAUGCAUCUUCUAGUCACAAAAAAAACUAAUGCAUCUUCGGUUACUCAAUGCUGAAUUUACUAAGGAUACGGAGAAACUGAACAAUAGUCUGAACAUGUGAGAGAAUUCUUCUGAUUUUCUAGUGAGUGGGCUUUACUUUGGUGCUAAGUGAAAGUUAUUUUUUUCCGUCUAAAAUUUUACUUGUGUAUUGUAAAUGUUCAUUUGAAUUUAUUUCAGUCAAGUAAUUAAGAUUUUUAAUUUAAAUUAAUAAUUAACUAUAAUAAAAAAUACAAAAUUAUAAUUAUAUAUCAUAUUUCAAAGACGGUACAUACUAAUUAGGAUUAUGGAUUUUGACUCGAAUUUAAAAAAUAAACGAAAAAAAAUAUUAAAAUUUUGUAACUAUUUCAAAAAUAAACCUACGUUAACUUAUGUCGGAUAUUUUUUUAUUAAAUUAAUAAAAAAAUAAAAAAUAGGAAAAUUAAUACAUAUUGUGAAUUAGGGACAAAAAAAUGUACUCUUUUUAUUAUGAAUUUUAUAUUUUUAUCAUCCAUUCUCAAUUAAUUAGAGUUAUAAGUAUGUACUCUUUUUAUAUUAUUCCAACUAAUGCAUAUCUUAUCAAUUGAAAAUGGCUGGGAAGGAGAGAGAAAAAAUCAUCGACAAACUAGAUAAGUCUGCACCCUUAAAAAUUAAAAUUUAUUAUUAAAGUUUAAAUUUGGAAAAAAUAGGAACUGCCUAUAAAAUUUUUGAAAGGAAUGGAAGGAAACACUAGAAGCGCAUAAUUUAAAAGUAGACAUGUUUGAUUUCGGCUACGGUGAGCAUUGGGUCUGUGGUAAUUGAGAGAAUCCGAUUCAAAUUGGCCACAGACAAACAAGAACGUGGGAAACUUUCGCACAAUUUAACCACGGAAAAGCAAAACGUUGCAAGUGAUUACGACGAUCAUGAAAAUUUGCCACUGUUUUUUGUUCGUGAGUAUUUUCCCGUGGUAAACUAUCGUGUUUCUGGUAGUGAAUAUUGUGAUUGUGAUCAAUGAAAAUGUUCAAUUUGAAAUACAAUAUUCUUGUUUUGGUGUGCUCUUCAAACUCCACAAAAUGACUAUAUAUAGAGAGCGGCUAGGGUUUUAUACAUGACUGACGUGGCAUAUAGUAGCAAUUAACAGGGCAAUUCUCCUUUGGCAAAAUGUGCUUUAAUUUGUAUGUGUAAUUUAGAAAAAUUAAUACAUACUGUGAAUUAGGGACAAAAAAAUGUACUCUUUUUAUUAUGAAUUUUAUAUUUUUAUCAUCCAUUCUCAAUUAAUUAGAGUUAUAAGUAUGUACUCUUUUUAUAUUAUUCCAACUAAUGCAUAUCUUAUCAAUUGAAAAUGGCUGGGAAGGAGAGAGAAAAAAUCAUCGACAAACUAGAUAAGUCUGCACCCUUAAAAAUUGAAAUUUAUUAUUAAAGUUUAAAUUUGGAAAAAAUAGGAACUGCCUAUAAAAUUUUUGAAAGGGAUAGAAAGAAACACUAGAAGCGCGCGUAAUUUAAAAGUAGACAUCGUUUGAUUUCGCCACGGUGAACAUUGGGUCUGUGGUAAUUGAGAGAGUCCAAUUCAAAUUGGCCACAGACAAACAAGAACGUGAGAAAUUUUUGCACAAUUUAACCACGAAAAAGCAAAACGUUGCAAGUGAUUACGACGAUCAUGAAAAUUUGCCACUACUUCUUGUUCGUGAGUAUUUUCCCGUGGUAAACUAUCGUGUUUCUGGUAGUGAAUAUUGUGAUUGUGAUCAAUGAAAAUGUUCAAUUUGAAAUACAAUAUUCUUGUUUUGGUGUGCUCUUCAAACUCCACAAAAUGACUAUAUAUAGAGAGCGGCUAGGGUUUUAUACAUGACUGACGUGGCAUAUAGUAGCAAUUAAAAGGGCAACUCUCCUUUGGCAAAAUGUGCUUUAAUUUGUAUGUGUAACCUAACUUGUCAAAGGAGAUAAGCACCAUAACUGGUUUGAUCCCUACUAAGAAUUUGUUUGGAUGAGUUUCUAAAAAAAAUAUUUUUUUAGUUAUUUUUUUUAAAAAAUCUUAUCAAAAAGUAAAAAUAAUUUUAUGUUUAGGUAUAAUUAACAAUAUAAAAGUACUUUUUUUAUUUAUUAUGUAAAAAAUAUAUUUUUUUUAAAAAAAUAUAUUUUAAAAAAGAUGUAAAUUGUAACUUCUUAAAAAAGAUUUUUUUCUAGUACUUUUACUUUUAUUACUAGAAAUCUGCCAAAUACGUUAAAAAAUAAAGAAAGAACUUUUUUCAAUAAAAAAAUCUUUUUUUAUCAAGAUAAUAACAUCCAAACAAACACUAAAUAUUUAUUCUAUAGUACAAGCAAAAAGCAUUUUUUUUUGGGUAAUGCUAAGGAGAAAAAAAAAACAGCCAGAACUUAUCUUAUUUAGUAUUCAUUAAUUAUCGUAAUAAUUAAUAAAUACUAAAUAAGACAAGUUAUAGUUAUUUUUGGUUAAUUUUCUUUGGUUAUCGAAACAUUUCUCUUUACUAAUUAGAGAAAAUAUCAUUCCCCUUCCCUAUGAGAUACUAAAAUGUCACUCCCUUCCCCUCUAUUUAUAAAAUGUAUAUUCUCCUUCUUUAUAACUUUUAAAAAACUUCAUCUUUAAUUCAUUUUAAAUUUUGUGUGAAUUAAUGUUAAUUUUAUCCAUUUUUCAAGAAAAAAUAAAUUAUAUUUUAUAAAAAUAUCCUUUAGCAAAAAUUUUAUUUUUUGUGAUUAAAUUUUGUAUACCAAAAUAUUCUUUAACAAAUUAUUUUUCUAGUGAUUGAAUUAUAUUCUUACCAAAAUAUUCUUUAAAAUAUUUUGUAAUGAUUAAAUUAUUUUUUUACUAAAAUACCCUUCAAUAUCAUUUUUCUAGUGAUUAAAUUGUGAUAUCAAUACAUAUUAUUUUAACAUUAAAUUAAAGAGAAAUUCUCCACAUACAAGCAUUUUUUUAUACAAGUCUUUACAAGUUAUUAUAUUAACGCGCUUGAACUGUUACUGUACGUUCUUCUUCCUCUUCCUCUUCUUCUUUUUUUAUUUCGUUUCUUGCUUUCUCUUUCUCCUUCAACCGUUACUGCACAAUUUCACUGCACCGUCGUCUUCUUCUUGCUGCACAUUCUUCUUCCUCUUCCUCCUCCUCUUCUUCUUCUUCUUCUUUUCUUUCGUUUUUGUAAAAAAUAAUUUAGUUUUUCUUGAAAAUAGAUAAAAGACAUUAGUUAACACAAAAGAAUUUAAAAUAGAUUAAAAUGAGAUUUUUUAAAAUCUAUAAAAGAGGAAAAUAUACAUUUUAUAAAUAAAGAGAAAAAAAUAUUAUUUUAGUAUCUCCUAGGAGAAGAGUGGUAUUUUCUCUACUAAUGACCAAUCAUUGCACUGUUUUAAAACUACUACACAAAAGUCAAAACUCUUCCCUUCAAAAGGUUAUGUCUUUUAAUUUGCACCACUUCAUAUUGAAAAACCUCCCUAUAAAUAUUAAUAAUUCUUCAUAGCUCCAUCAUUCCAUAACCAUUUCAAGAACUAGAAAGAUGGCAGAAAAAGAAACCGACCAAAUUUCUUCAUUACCCGAAGAGCUUCUUCUCAACAUUCUUUCCUCGCUUCCUUUCAAAGAAGCAGCGAAAACAUGUAUCCUCUCCAAGAAGUGGUUCAAGAUGUGGCAAUCUACCAACACAGUGAAGAACAACCAACUCGAAUGCAAGAAGGUAGAAGCUUAUGGAGCCGUUGAAGUACCGCAAAGGAAGUCUUUCAAGAACUUCAUCAAGAUCUGGAUCACAUUGUACAAAAAUCACCAUCUCCACGACAAAUUCACCCUCAAGGUUUCUCCUCCUUCGAACUGCGGUGACAUCGUUGGAGCCUCCGUCGAUUUCGCCGUAGAGGACGGCGUGAAAGAUUUGGAACUCGAUUUCGCCGAAGCGCAGUGGGAGGACGAACAUCCUGAAGAGAAUAUCCACGAUGCCUCGGUUGAAUUUCCGAGACACCUUUACGAGAACAAGAAACUGCACCAGAUGCUCGAGAGUUUGAAACUGCACUCGUGCAGUUUCGCGCCUGCAAAUUUCGCCAAGUUUGUGGCACUGAAAGAUGUGACUCUUGCUUGGAUUCCGUUGCAACUGGAAUCGAUUAGGACGCUGUUAUCGACGUGCGAGUGGAUCGAGAGUUUGAGCCUGAAGAACUGUUGGGAUAUUGAAUCCUUUGAUGUAAAGAAAUUGGAACUGAAGAAGUUGGUGAUUGAUAGGUGCAUAAUUGGAACAGAUUAUAUUGGUUUUGAGGCGCCAAAUUUGAAGGUUUUCAAGUACUGUGGUUCAGUGCCGCCGGUGUCUGAAGUGAAGGUGGAAGCUGGUACCAUGGAGGAGGCAGAUCUUGAUUUAAGCCCCAUGGAUGAGUUCUUUGAAUGUGGCAACGAACUUCAGAAUUUUCUUCAAGAUUUCUUUGCGGUCAAUGUUCUUACAGUUUGCAGCGUGAUUCUUCAGGUACUUCGUAUAUGUGUGUUAUUGCAAAGGUUUCUUUGGUUUUGGGAAUAGUAAUAGUUAGAAAUGGUAGACUGUAAGACUAUAUUUCAUUACUAAAUUUCUAGCUUUAUAUUUAAGUAUAUAUACUAAUACUAAUAUAGUAACUAAAACGUUUUUUAUAAUUUUAUUAAUUUGUUAAUGAAUGAAAGGUGAUUCCUUCGGGAGAUGAACCCGUGAGGCUACCAGGGGGUUUGAGGGUGAGACACUUGAAGAUGAAAAUCCAAAUGCAUCCCCAAGAAUUUUGCGGAUUCCUUUGGUUUCUCAACAGUUGUCCUAGGUUGACCAAAGUAGCAACAAGCGACCAACUCUAUGCAUGCUCCUAUUUCAUCAGUGCGGCUUCAAUUUUGACGAAGCUCAGCAUCAAUGUCUUGAAGAACAAGAAUGAUGACCCUAACACGGUGGAGAUGCGUCGUAUUUUAGCAUCGCAAUUGCUCCGUAUUCCAAAGGCUUCAAGAGUUUUGGCCAUAAUAAUUCGUUGACUGUUAUUAUGGUUGGGAGAAAACUCUCUGUUAAUAGAUAAUAGAGAUGCGAGUUAUAUAUAUGGUUAAGGAGUACACUGAUAAAUAAGUCUGUACAGUAAUUUUUCCCCUAAUACCUGGCCUACUGAUGAAUUAGUAGAUGUAUCCUAUGAAAUUUUAAUAUAAUAUUUGGUAAUUUGUGUUGUGAUAAAUAUAAAUUGAUGUCCAUUUAAUAUAUUGUGAUUUUUUUUACAAUGUUGGGCGGUUAAUUUUUUUGAUACAAAAAUUUAGUUUUUCAAUAAAGACUAAACUUUAUGAAGUUUGAAAAAUAAAUAUUUUGUCCACGUAUAAAUAGUAAUAAAAUCUGAAGUAUAUGACACACAACAAUAAUAAAAUACUUUUCUCUUUUUUUACAUGCUACGAUAAUUAUAUAAACAUUCUUCUCUCUUUUUUAUAUAUACAUUACUACAUAUUAGUAAUAUAUAUAUGAAUCAUUUCUAUUAUAUUAAGAUAUUAAUUACGGUGAACAUUAAUAUUAGAUUUAUUUUUUUACAUUUUUUAUUUUAUAUUUAUUUUCUUUUUUUUAUUUAUUUAUUUUACAACACACUAUCAGCACGAGAUUCUGAUCAAAAUUUAGGAAGACUCAGGUAAUAAAUUUUUAUUAUGUCAAAUUAAAGCUCUCUUAUCUUAAAUUUAAUACUCUUGAUAUAUUUGAAAACAACUACUUAUCAUGGAUACUAGGUGCCGAAAUACAUCUUGAUUCAAUGGAUCUUUAGAGAUGCCAUUAAGGUUUCAAAAAGAUAAAGCCAAAGUUAUGAUCUUCUUUCGUCGUCACCUUGACGGAAGAUUGAAAAAUAAAUAUCUCCCACUAAAACAUUCUACAGAUCUGUGGAAAAACCUUGAAAAAAGGUAUAAUCAUAAAAAAAAUAGUGAUACUCCUCAAACCCAAUAUGAGUGGACACACUUACGUCUACAGGAUUUUAUAUAUAUCCAUAAAUAAAUACACAAUUCAGCAAUGUUCCGAAUUACCUCAUGAAUAAAAUUAUGUGGGAAAAAGAUAAAUUAUAAUGACAUAUUAGAAAAAAAUUUUUCGACCUUUUAUGACUCGAAUGUGCUCCUGCAACAACAAUAUCGAGAAAAAGAAUUUAAAAAAUAUUCUGAGCUAAUUUUUUGUCUUCUUGUUGCUGAAUACAACAAUGAGUUGUUUUUAAAAAAUCAUGAAGCGCGCCCAGUUGGCGUCGCCCCAUUUUCUAAAGCAAAUGCAGUAAAUCAUUACUUCAAAAGAGAUAAAUGGCAUGAUUUUGGUAACAAGAAAAAUUAUGUUCACAAGAAAGGAUCUCAUCAGAAGUGGGAUAAAGAAAAAAAAUAAUGGGCAAAAUAAACCAACAGUGGAUAAAUAUUUCCAUUGUGGUGGAAAGGGCCACGUAUCUGUCGUACCCCAAGGCACUUAGUUGAUCUUUAUUAAGCAUCUUUGAAAAAGAAUGAAAAAGGAAAGAAAACAAAUUUUGUUUCAAAUGAUGUUGCUAAAAAUUACACCACUCAUUAUGAAGUAUUUGAUUUCUUUGAGGAUCUUGAAGGAAAUAUUGGUCAUCUGAUCAAUGAUGAAAAAGUCUAAUAUGUGGGUUUGUUCAGUACUCAUGUAAAUAAAUAAUGUAAGAAACUUCUUGUUAAAUUUUAUUUUCUACGUGUUUGGAUUUUAAAUAUGGAUAAGUAUUAUUUUAGUCCCUAACGUUGAGGGUCAGAAUCAAAACCGUCCCCAACAUAAUUUUUUAUUUAGAAUCAUCCUUAACAUUUUUUUCGUAUUAAAAUCGUCUUUUUUAACUUUUUCUGGACAAAAAUACUCUCAACUACUAUCAGCACCUUUACUUCUACCACCACCAUUAGUACCUUUACUUCCACCACCACCAGCACCUUUACCUCCACCACCAAGAAAAACAACAUCAAUGAAAUCAACAUAAAUUCAACAAAUCAAGGAAUCGAAAAUUCAACAAAUCAACACAAAUUCAACAAAUUUAACAAUCAAAUCAACACAUAAUAACAUUAAAAUCAGAAAACAACAAAUCAAAAUCAGAAGCAGAAGCAGAGGCAGUCACAGAAGUAGAGAAAGCAAAGGCAGUCACAGAAUUAGAAAACUUAUCAUGCUCCUUGAUUUUAUUUCUGAUUAAAAGCAAGAAAGCAAAAACAGAAGCAAAUUCAAGAAUCGGGAAGCAAAAAGCAAGAAGUAGAAGCAAAAAGCAAGAAGCAGAAGCAAGAAAGCAAGAAGCAAAAGCAAAAAGCAAAAUCAGAAAAGUAAGAAAGUAGAAGCAAGAUGCAGAAGCAGAAAGCAAGAAGCAGAACCAAAAAACAAGAAGCAAGAAGCAAAAAGAGAGGGGCAAGGUGCAGAUGAAACGGCGAGGCGGCAAGGCGGCGAGGCGGCCGGCGAGGUGCAGCAGUGAGGUCAACGGCGGCAGUGGCUCGCGUCUCCUCUCUCCCUCGUAUUGGCUCAUGCAAUAUGAUAGAAGGCUCUAGAAGAGUUAUAAUUUUGUUUCCCAAAUGAACAAAAUUCAUAAUAAAUAAUGUACUAUUGUCUACCAAGUCUCUAAAGAACUUGUUGAGUUUUAAAGGUAUUUGCCAAAUGGAUAUCAUAUUGAAACAAUGAAUGGGGAAUAUCAUGAGUAAUUAUAUAUCACAACUCAUGAUUCAAAUAAAAAGACUAUAUUAAAAAUGUUACGCUCACUUUCAUCUGGGUUAUAUUAUACUAAAAUGAGUGUAAUUGAAUUACAUGCCAUUAUAAACCUGCAAAAGUUUACUAACCUAAAUGAAUUUAAAAAAUUUGGCAUGAUCGAUUGGGUCAUUCAGGAACAACCAUGAUGCGAAAAAUUAUUAAAAACUCCCAUGGACAUUCACUAAAGAACCAGAAGAUUUUUAAAUUUAGUAAAUUUUGUUGUGCUGCAUGUUCUCAAGGAAAACUAAUUUUAAGGCUAUCACCAGUAAAACUUAGAUUUGAGUCUCCUAAAUUUCUAGAAAGGAUUCAAGGCAAUAUAUGUGGACCUAUUAAUCCACCAUGUGGAUCUUUUAGAUAUUUUAUGGUCCUAAUAGACGCAUAUUUGAGAUGGUCACAUGUGUGCUUAUUGUCUUCUGCAACCUGGCGUUUACGAGAUUACUUGCGCAAAUUAUUCGAUUAAAAGCACAUUUCUCAGAAAAUCCAAUCAAAGUAAUUCUUCUUCACUCAUGAUCUUCAAAAUCAAUGAACAAUUGAUAUCCAAUAGAUCCGCUCAAGUGAUAAUCUGGCAGAUUUAUUUACAAAAUCACUUCCAAAAUCCUCCUUUAAAAAAUUGGUAUAUCAGAUUGGGAUGUGAUAAUUUCAAGAUAUAAAAUAAUGUUGGCAAAAGGAGGAGACUGUACUCUUUUUUCUUUGGUCAGGUUUUUCUCCAUAUUGAUUUUUUUUUUACAAAGUUUUUAAUGAGGCAGUCCUCGUCACAAAGGAUAUUGUACUAUUUUUUCUUUACUAAAAUUUUUUUUAUUGAAAUUUUCUUUAGUAAGAUUUUAACAAGACAUAAUCCUAAAUGGACAUCCAAUGAAAAAUGUUGCCCAUUUAAUACAUUGUGAUUUUCUUCACAAUAUUGGGCGGCUAACUUUUUUUAAUAGAAAAAUUUAAUUACUCAAAAAAGACUAAAUUUUAUGAAUUUGAAAAAUAAAUAUUUUGUACCAUUAAUACUAGAUUUAUUUAUUUAUGUUUUUUUAUUUUUUAUUUUUUCUUUAUUUAUUUAUUUUACACCAAUUUGAUUAGUAAUGCAACAUUAUUAUUGAAUAGUAGUUAGUUUCACAAAAUUACUUGAUCUUAAUAUUUUUUCGAAUAUGCAGAUACUAUUUGAAAGAGGAAGUAUUUAAGAAUGCAACUUAAUUAUAUUUGGUAUUAAACGAAAUUUAAUUUUAAUCUAUUAUUAAUAUAAAGUAAUUUUAUUCAUGAAUUCAAUUAAUAACGUUUAUCUUUUAAAAAAUUAUUAUUUUUAUUGAAUGUAUAAAUAAUUAUCCAAGAAUAUAAAUGUAAGUAUAUGAUUGAAUAAAAUAUUUUACACUGAUAAUACAUUAAACUCAAAAACUCAUCAUUGAGCAUGUAUUUUGAUAAGAUGGGGGCGAAAACAUAUUUAUUUGAUAAUAAAUUGAUAACUGUUGUCUAAUUAUAUUUUCUCUUAAAUAAAAUAAUAUGACUAAAAAUAAAAAUAUUCUCUGAUACAGUUUUAUUGUUUAGUCAAAUGNNNNNNNNNNNNNNNNNNNNNNNNNNNNNNNAAUUUAUAAUUUAAUCUUUGUUAAAUUCUAAAAUAAUUUUAAUAAUAAAAAACACGUGAAUAAUUGGUACACAUAAUCAAGGUGCACAUACAAAUAAAACUUUAUUGAGGUUGAAUAAAACUUGGCCAAGUAAGAGAAAUAAUUUUUCUUAAAUGGUUGAUAAGAGUGAUAAACUGAUAAUAUAGAGUUGCAGCAUGUGGGAAAUUAGAUAAAAUAGGGAAUAAAUAUUUAAUCCGGUUCUUAUUUAUUUUUUAGAAGGAUAAAGUAAUUUCUGUCUAAAAAAAAGGUACAUUCUGAUUCCUAUCUUUAUAUUUUAUGAGCUAUGACGGUUUUUUUGUGCCUUUCAACGUUAAAAACAAAUAGAAUAAGUAUACAUAUCACUUAACGGUAAUGAGUUGGUUGUUAGGUGUCCAUUAAAUACUAAGUUGUCAAUUUAAAAAUGGACAGGGGUUGAUCUAUCCUUGCCUCCCAAACAAAAACGCUGUUGUUUUAAGUGGGAUGGGAGGUUCAAAUGAUACGCUGCUUCACUAUAUACUUUGAAAAUGUAUCACUGUGUUCAACUGUAAACCCUAAGACGGCAUGGUUGAUAGUAAAGAACGUGGGUCGACAUCAAAUCGGUGAAGUGGGAGAGUUGAAAACGAAUCAGGUUGGAGUUUGAAAGUUAUUGGGAGUGUGGAAUCAAUGUGGAAGAAAAAGAGGGUUGUCCUAGAGUGUAAUUGUGGAAUUUAUGCAAUUUUAUUCAUGUCCGGAACCGAUAUAAACCCAAACAGACUAUUCUUUCGAUGCUCAUACUUCAAGGUAGGUUUAUGAACAAUUAAAAUUUUGUUCACUUUGUUUUUCAUUGAUGCUCAUAUUUCAAGGUAGGUUUAUCAAGAAUUUCAAUUAUGUUCACUUUGUUUUUCAUUAGAUUUAUAAUAAAAAAUAUUAUUUUGUAGACUCCAACACUUCAUUACAAAUACUUUUGUUGGCUUAAUGAUUAUGUUGCAUCAUUCAAUGAGGAUGCUGCAAAGACUCUUUUGUUCGGAGGUUUGAAGCUGAAUCAGAAUCAUAAAGAAGGUCAUUCUUCUGCGGAUGAUAACAAAAUUAGAAAGUUAGAGAAAAGAUUGGUUGGCUUAAAAAUUCAUUUGAAGAAAGUUAGAUUUAAUUUUAGUCAAAUUAGAUGCACUCAUGUUGAAUGUGUUAUGUUGGCAUUUGUUGUUGGAAUUGUAGUUGAAAACCUGUUUAAUGGUGUAGUUUAGAGAGAUCAAAUGUUGUUUCUGGAGUAUUGUGAAACAUGGUGAUUAUGGUUAAGUUGUUUAGACUAUAACAUUUGUUGCUAUUGAUCACUUUUGAUGCAUGAAUAUAAAUAUAAUUAACCUGCUUUUGUUUUUAUAUGUUCGUUUAUUAUUCAAUUUUAAAGAAUGCAGUAGUAUACAUAAUUUUGUAAUAAAAUAAGGCAUUAUAAAUUUGUUGAAUAAAGUAAGAAGCCAUCUGCUGAAAGUUGAAACUUAACACAUGAUACCAUAAUAAUAGAAUAAGGGAAUCAUCAUUACAGCCCUUACUAAUAUAGUUACCCAAAAGAGUAUUCAAUCAACUAUACCCACUUAAAACAAUAGCGUUUUUGUUUGAGAGGCAGGGACAGAUCGACUCUUUUCUAUUUUUAAAUUGACAGCUUGACACUUAAUGGAUACCUGACAGCCAACUCAUCACUGUUAAGUGACACGUAUACUUAUUUCAUUUGUUUUUAACGUCGGAAGGCACAGAAGAACCGCCAUGUCUUACAAAAUAUAAAAACAGAAGUCGGAACGUAUUUUUUUUUUAACAGAAAUCACUUUAUUUUUCUUAAAAAUUGAUAGGGACUGAAUUGAGUGUUUACUCUAAAAUGGGUGGGAUGAUAUGAUAUAAAGAGUAAUUGAGAGACUUAUUCAAAGAAAAUGAGUUAGUGAUGAUCACUUAAUUAAAUCUUCAAAAUUUUCCUAUAAAUAUAAUGGUAAUGCUAAGAAGAAAAAAAAAGAUUAAAAUUUACAUUAUUGAAUGUUUAUUAAUUAUUACAAUAAUUAAUAAAUAUUAAAUAACAUGAGUUAUGAUUAUUUUCUUUUGGUUAACAAAUAUUUUCGUAAAUCGCUUUCUAUAUAAUAAUGGUCAAAAGCUAUACAAAUUAAACAGAUAGACCAAUAAGAACGAAACGAACAAUAAUAAUUAACGAAUUACAAUUAAUUAACCAAAUAAUGAAUAAUCUUUGAUCAACAAUAACAAUCUCUGCUGCUGCAAGCUUAUUCCCACUUCCACAUAUGCAUGUACGGAUGUACCUUCAACAAAAAUAUUGAAAGGAUGAAUAAUAUUUAGUUAUCAUCUUCUUAACAUCAUGCUUAAUAUAUAACGAUGAGAUAAUAAUAUAUAUACUUUAAGUAGCUGUUUUGUUUCCUAGUGAUCAUGUGGGUUUUGUGGUCAUGUUAGGCGUAUAGGCCAUGUCUUCAGUUUUCGCUGCUCUGUUGUUGCUGCUGCUGCCGCCGUCGCUGCGAGCAGGGACAGAACUUAGUUAAAAUAAGGAGGCCAUGGUUUUCCAAACUUUUGAUAAAAAAAUUAGUAAUACUUUUUCGAAAAAUAAAAAAUUAGUUCAAUUGAUUCAAAUAUUUUGCUAUGAUUUAAAAUACCAAAGUUCAAUCUUCAUCUCUUGCUUUUAUUGCAUAGUAAUUUUUAGUUUUAAAUAUUAAAAACAUGUUGGAUUUGGACUGAACUGAAUGUAUUCGCAUUUCGCAACUCUCUAUUCAAUAAGCAACACUAUCUCUACCUUUGAGUUCAAAUAUAAAAAAUUAGGUUUUUUUAUUUAUGUAAUUUAAUAUUAUUUUAUAUUUUACUGUUUAUUUAAUUUAAUUUUUUAUAUGAUAAAAAAUAUUAGAAUAUUCAAUAAGUAUUGAUAUUAUUGUAUUUGUAUAAAUUGAUAAAAAAAUUCAAUAAAUAUUAUAAAUUUUAAUAUUUGUAAUUCUAACUUCUUUUUUACAUAUUUUAGAGGAUAUAUAUUCAAAUUUUUAUAUAAAAUAAUCAUGAAAAAUUAAAGAAUUGAUGCAUUUUUUAAGAAAAAAGCUAAUAUUCAAGAAGGAGAACAUAUAACAUUUACAAUAUCAACACAUGUAGAUAGUUCUUCUACUUUAAUGAAUCACGAAAAAAGUGAGAUACAACUUCCAAAAGUUCAAAGAGUUGCAUUUGAUGAAUUUGACCUUAAUUUUUUGGAACGAGACCCUGAAAAACGGAUUUAAAUUUGGCAAUAUCACCCAAAUCAGAGAGAUGAUGUUAGACGAGUUUAUCUUAAAUGGGAUUCAUAUCAAAAGCAUCUUGAUAAUUAUUUUCUAUCUGGCCCCCAAAAUUUUGUUUCAAGCUCCGCCACUGACUGCGAGACUGCUGGUUGCUACUGCUAUUGCUGCUGCUGCGAGACUGCUGGUUGCUGCUGCGGGACUGCCGGGUGGAUCGCGCAGGGAUAUGAGCUGGUCCACAUUUUCGGGUUUAGUUUGUCGAUUCAUUGUGAGAAAUGUAAUGUAAUUAUUAGUAAAAUGUUGUGAUCAAUGGACUAAUUAACACUGUAUUUGAUCUGCCAUUUCGUAUUUAUAGACGUUUUUGAUGCAUGCAUGUGUACAUUAGGGUACAUUUACAUGUAUGAUAUAUAUGAGCGUGUUAACAUUUGUAAACUUUGCAUGAAAUUUAACUUGUAAAAACAUGAUAUUUUGAUAUUGUUGUAUUCUUAUAUUAAUUGUAUAGUUCAGGUGCGUUGUUGGGAAUUUUCCUUAGCUUUCUUGAGAAAACUAAAAUAAUUAAGGAAACUCAUGGUAGCUAAGAGAGGCGUGUACGGUCAUUACUUUUAUUUUUUAUUUUUUUGUUGAAAGAGAUUACUGUUUCUUCAUGCUGAUGAGCAUUGCAUGAGAAAUGCUACUGCAUUUCGACGGAACUGCAGAGAAAUGCAUGGAAUACUCCUCUUUUUUUUUUUUUUAUAAGAAACUCAAUGACAAUAUAUAAUAACUGUAAAAGAAACGGUGGUGAGUAAUUUAUACAAGAAUUUCAGUGUCAUUUGCACGAAAGUGGAAAUAAGCCAUGGCGUGCGGCUGCGUGUUUGAAGUUGGAAGGGCGAAUUGUGAAGGUAUUUACAGUAACGUGUAUGUAGAAUGAGUAGUUGGACAUGAAUUAAAAAAGAUAGAUGAAUAGUCAACAUUAGAGAAAUUACCAGAAGUCAAUGGAAUAUUUGUAUAAUGUGUAUAAUGAAGGUUUAGGAAGUAUUAAAUAUAUAAUCAUUAGUGUUAUCUCUUCUCAUCAGAGCUGAAACUUUUGGGAUGAGUAGUAUCAUAACAUGGUAUUAGAACGCUAGAUCCGAAAGGCCAAAAGUUCGAUUUUUGGUGAACUCCAAAAUCAGUUUAAGUUAUUAUUCCUAGUACUCGGAUAGUUAUUCUAGAUAGUAUGAGGGAUGUUUAUUUUAUAACUCAAUAACUCAUUGUACACAUUAUACAAAUAAUCUAUUGUCUCCCUAACGAGACUCUCAACAUUAUUUAUUAAAUUAUUACUAUUGUUAUAUUUUCUUUGAUUCUUCUAUAAUUCUGUUACUUACUUCUGGGGCCCGGCCCGGCCAUAUUAAUAGUUAAAUUGAAGCGGUAUGCAGUCGGAUCAUAACAAUAGAAAGUGUAUUACAGAUUUUUUGACGGUGUAUUGUAAUGUAAUUCUUCAACAAUUUGACUGGGUAUAGAUUUUUAGAAGAUAAUUUAUCCCUUUUUUUUAAAAAAAGAAAUUGUUAGUGCAAAUACAAUAUUUUAUCAUUUUUUUUAAAUAAGACAAAAAAAUACUUGACAAUAAUAUUUAUUGAUAGAAAAAAAAUCGAGAUAUUCACUCCUCUUCAUUUCCCGCCUUGGCCUUGGACGGUGGCUGCCAAUGCUUGGUUUAAUCAAACCAGUGACUUGUAUUAUGUCUAUUUAUUCACUAUUUUGUUUAAAAAUAACAAAAUAUUAUAUAAAUCUAUAUAUAAACGAUAUUUUAGAAAAAAUGGUACCAUGAGGUGAUAACUUUAAGAAACACAAUCAUUUAAUAUUUUUUUAUCAUAUAAUCAAUUUAUAUUAACAAUUAAAAAUAACAACGAAAUAAAUCUUCUAUUAAUCGUGAUUUUUAUACAUAUUUUGAUAACGUGAAUCAACGGAUUUUUCUCUUGAUAAAAAUUAAAAAAAUUGUGUUUGUUGUUAAUUCAAUCUAUUUAUUUGACACCAAUUAAUUGAUAAGAAACGAGUAAUGUUAAAAAAAACGAGAUUAAAAGUAUAACAUAGUCGAUUGAAUUGCACACUAGAAUAUGAAUUUUUUCAUAUUCAAUCGAUUGAAAAUAUAACACAAUUAAUUGAAUUUCACAUGAUAAUAUAGAUUUUUUUUAUUCAAUCGAUUAAAAGUGUAACACAAUCGAUUGAAUUGGACAAUUAAAAAUAUAACACAAUCAAUUGAAUUUUGCACGGAAAUAUAAAAUUUUUUUAUUCAAUUAAUUAGAAGGAUAACACAAUUAAUUGAAUUGAGUAUUGCGCUAUAUAUCAUGCCUUCCUUUUUUUGAACAGCCUUCCUUAUUUUUAACAAAAGUUUCCAUUUUUACAUGACUUCUUUUCUCUCUCUAAAACUAAAAAACUUCUCUCUUCAUAGUAUGUGUUAUUAUAUCUUUAGAGACAUGCGAAUUAAUAUGUACAAAUAAACGAAGUUUAAAAAAUAUUUUGUUAGCAUUACUAAUGUAUUAAUAACAGGUAUGAUAAAAAAUUUUGUCAUUAUCAAAAUAGAUGUCCAAGUGAUAGAUUGUGCAAUUUUCAACAGAAAUUAUCAUUAGAUAUCAGUGUUUAUUCUCUUAAAUGAGAACAUAUAUAUAAACCAUAAAAUUGUAAUAUAAAUGUUAUAUAUGUUGUUAAGGAAAAAUUAUAUAUACCAAAGAAUAGACAAAAAAAAAACUUACAAAUUUUAAAUUAGUAGUGGGUUGCAUAAGUUUAUAAAUAUAGUAUUGCAUCUUGUUUAAAUCUAUCUUAGACAUUUACCUACAAACACUAAUAGAUUUAUAUAACUGUUAGAUAUUAAUUGGUACUAAAUUUUAAUAUUAAAAUAACCAUCUGUACACUAGUAAAAUAAACAUCCGAUAUAUCUAUUGUUUACCUUGUUUAAUAUUUUCAUUGUUCACCUAUACUUUUCCAUUCCAUAAACAUUAAACAAUGCAUCUAACCGGAGAAUUAGGCAUCAGCAAGAAAAGAGAAGAACUGAAGCCGUGCAUGCGUGGUCCCCGUUGUGAAGAAAUCGCAGAUAAAUGCUUAGCUGUACAUGGAGACAAGGUUGCUCUCUUUGUAUGCUUAUCAUGUUAUAGAGAUGCUUUGCGAGGUGUAACAAAGGAAGGGUGCCAUAGCCAUGCAUGCUGAAGAGUGUCCCAAAUGCUCAGUGUACCAACUCACUUUCUCCGACGUGUCCCUUCCUUCACCCUCCUCUCGCCCCCUAUAAAUCACCUCGCUUCUCAUUCUCCUUCAUCACAACCACAGCAAUAACAAUAAUAGCAGCCAUGGCUAAGCUUCUUGAGCUUUCUUUUUGCUUUUGCUUUCUAGUUCUGGGAGCUAGCAGCAUCUCCUUCAGGCAGCAGCCGGAGGAGAAUGCGUGCCAGUUCCAGCGCCUCAAUGCGCAGAGACCUGACAACCGCAUUGAAUCGGAGGGCGGUUACAUUGAGACUUGGAACCCCAACAACCAGGAGUUCGAAUGCGCCGGCGUCGCCCUCUCUCGCUUAGUCCUCCGCCGCAACGCCCUUCGUAGGCCUUUCUACUCCAAUGCUCCCCAGGAGAUCUUCAUCCAGCAAGGUUAUUAGUUAUUACUACUUUUUCAUAUUGUUAUUGUCAAUGAUUGAAUUUAAUUAUUUGACGGUAAAAAUAAUUUUGUACACUCACUAAACGUACUAACAUUUUACAACAAUUUACGAUUGAGACACAAAAAAAAAAGGCAUAUCUGUAUUUGAGAAUUUUAUUUUUUUUCCAUGAUCUUUGUUUGUUAAUUUCAUUUUGAAUGAACACAUACAGGAAGGGGAUACUUUGGGUUGAUAUUCCCUGGUUGUCCUAGCACAUAUGAAGAGCCUGCACAACAAGGACGCCGAUAUCAGUCCCAAAGACCACCAAGACGUUUGCAAGAAGAAGACCAAAGCCAACAGCAACAAGAUAGUCACCAGAAGGUGCACCGUUUCAAUGAGGGUGAUCUCAUUGCAGUUCCCACCGGUGUUGCUUUCUGGCUGUACAACGACCACGACACUGAUGUUGUUGCUGUUUCUCUUACUGACACCAACAACAACGACAACCAGCUUGAUCAGUUCCCCAGGGUAUAUAUAUGCUCAAAUCUCAUUCGUUAUUUUUGGCAUGUGCAUAUAUCAUGAAUAUUGAGUAUUAGUCUAUUAUUAUUUCUUAUGAAUUCUCAUCAAUAAACCAUGCCACAUUUAUAUAUAAAUGAUCCGUGACAAUUAAUAAUACAUAACAGAGAUUCAAUUUGGCUGGGAACCACGAGCAAGAGUUCUUAAGAUACCAGCAACAAAGCAGACAAAGCAGACGAAGAAGCUUACCAUUAAGCCCAUACAGCCCUCAGCCUGGACAAGAAGACCGUGAAUUUAGCCCUCAAGGACAGCACGGCCGCAGAGAACGAGCAGGACAAGAACAAGAAAACGAAGGUGGAAACAUCUUCAGCGGCUUCACGUCGGAGUUCCUGGCACAAGCCUUCCAGGUUGACGACAGACAGAUAGUGCAAAAUCUAAGAGGCGAGAACGAGAGUGAAGAACAGGGAGCCAUUGUGACAGUGAAGGGAGGCCUCAGAAUCUUGAGCCCAGAUAGAAAGAGUCCCGACGAAGAAGAGGAAUACGAUGAAGACGAAUAUGCUGAAGAGGAGAGGCAACAAGAUAGAAGGCGUGGCAGGGGAAGCAGAGGCAGCGGCAAUGGCAUUGAGGAGACCAUCUGCACCGCAACUGUUAAAAAGAACAUUGGUAGAAACAGAUCCCCUGACAUCUACAACCCUCAAGCUGGUUCACUCAAAACUGCCAACGAGCUCAACCUUCUAAUCCUUAGGUGGCUUGGACUUAGUGCUGAAUAUGGAAAUCUCUACAGGGUUUGUACUUUCUCUUUUUCUAUCUAUUUUUUUAGCAUACUACACUAUUAACAAAAUUUAUCAUUGUUAGUAAGAUUUGGCUAAUACCUUAAACAUUAAGUAUUAAAUUCUAAAUUUUAAAUACUAAAUACUAAUGGUAUAAGAAUAUAAUGUUACUUAACUAUCGAUUAAUAUCGAUAAAAAGUAUUGAUACUGAUAUUUUUCUUUUCUUGUAGUGUUACAUUAGGCAUUCGAUUUGGUUAUCUAUUUACCCAUUGAAAUGUGAUUGCAGAAUGCAUUGUUUGUCCCUCACUACAACACGAACGCACACAGCAUCAUAUAUGCAUUGAGGGGACGGGCUCAUGUGCAAGUGGUGGACAGCAACGGCAACAGAGUGUACGACGAGGAGCUUCAAGAGGGUCACGUUCUUGUGGUGCCACAGAACUUCGCCGUGGCUGGGAAGUCCCAGAGCGAGAACUUCGAAUACGUGGCAUUCAAGACAGACUCAAGGCCCAGCAUAGCCAACCUCGCCGGUGAAAACUCCUUCAUAGAUAACCUGCCGGAGGAGGUGGUUGCAAAUUCAUAUGGCCUCCCAAGGGAGCAGGCAAGGCAGCUUAAGAACAACAACCCCUUCAAGUUCUUCGUUCCACCUUUUCAGCAGUCUCCGAGGGCUGUGGCUUAAAAACGACCAGUAUCUUUUGCAAGCGUGUUAUCCACUACAUACUUUUUGCCACAAAUGAAUAAUAUAAUAAUAAGAAGAAUAAUGUAGUUUUAAUUUUUAGUAUGAAUAAGAAUACAAAGGGGCAUUGAUGCCUUUUUGUUUAAGAUCGGAAUGUAACAUAUGUGCAAUGAGCAGAUAUGGAGAAAACCUUUUGCGGGAAAAACAUGAAUAAUAAAAGAAGUUAUGGUCUCACGCACGCCACAUUUGUCUUUGUAUCCCCCUUUCUUUGUGAUAAAACAAACUUGAAAAGAAUAUCAACAACACAGCAUGCUCUAACAUUUUGAUGUAACUCCGAAAAUCCGAGUAAUUGUUGAGGGUGAGCUAUAAUGAGCUAGGAUUUCUAUUCAAGCACUAUAAGAUCGUGACAAUUCAAUUUUGACAUGCAUGGUAUAUAUAGCUUGCUUAUGAUCAUUGAUGACUUGCUCAUGUAAAUCCAAUUUUUACAAUUUAG
rnacentral:lncRNA from 1 species